AGUUCAUCUUGACCAUGAAUUGCUGAUUUUGGAAAUAUUUUUGAAUUUAGGUCACUUCUACCUAUUCUUAUCUAUAAUUAAGCAUUCUUCUCAAAGUAGAAAGAUCAAGUUGCUCAUUAUUCUUACUGUGAAUACAAUUAGUAAGACACCUAAUAGUAGCACUUUCAGUUGUUAAAAACAGCAAAACCAGUAUAUCUAAUAUUUUUUGUUAUUCUUUACACCACACAGUAACUCACAUCCAUGUGGUGGUUCACAGGUUUAUAGCAUAAGAAGCAUUCUCACUUACCUCUGCACCUUUCGUAUUCCUAAUAGAUGUAUGAAAUGGGUGGGGCAUCUAUAGAGACUCUAAGAUACAAACUUCUCCAUGUAAGACCAUACAUCUACGCAGUCACAGAGCCGGGGAAGAACUAAUCAUUGAUUCCGACUCAAGCUAUUUGCCUUUCAUUUCUGUGGGCCUGAAGCCUGUACCCAUGAAUGCUCCAUACAUGUUGAUGAGGAAGAGGAUGCCUUUUUACCAGGCAUUCAAUGUACUAGAUGCUCUUUGUUGCUUUUUCUUCAUCUGCACGUGGGGAAUGAGCUGGAGGGCGUGAAGAGGAGCACAGAAGGACAAGAGUAACCCAGAACAGACUGUGAGCACCCGUAAUGCUCUCACUCCCAAUGUGGAAUGGGUUCUUCAUAACAGCUCUGGGAGCAUGGCAAUAUAGGUCUUAUUCAUGCUGAAUCUUUUUUUUUUUUUUUUUUUUUUUUUUGAGACUGGCUUUCACUCUGUUGCCCAGGCUAGAGUGCAGUUGCACAAUCAUGUUUCACUGCAGCCUGGACCUCCAAGGCUCAAGCAAGCCUCUCACCUCAGCCUCCCAGGUAGCACCACCACGCCCAGCUAAUUUUUGUGUAUUUUUUGUAGAGACUGGGUUUCACCAUAUUGCCCAAGCUGGUCUCGAACUCCUGGGCUCAAGUGAUCUGCCCGCCUCAGCCUCCCAAAGUGCUGGGAUUAUAGGUUUGAGCCUCUGCUUCCAGCCCAUGCUAAAUCCUAAUGCCAUAUUCAUUUAUCACAUUGUCCAUUACCUUUCAAAUUCUAUGACAGCAUAGCCAUGUGUUCAUUCAAUUGUGAAGUAUUUGUUGAGCAUCUUCUAAGCACCAGGGACUAUGUUCGAUGCUGAGUCCAAAGUUGAGAGCAGCAGACAGGCUCCCUGCCUACGUGGAGUUUGGAGUCUAGCAGGAGAGAGACAUUACAUAAAAAAGCACAAAGACACAUAAUUACUAAUUCUACGGGGAAACAAAAGAAGAGGCUUUAUGAGAGACACUAGCAGGAAAGAGACAUAAUUAGGAUGGAGGAGGGGUGUGUCAGGAAGUUUUUCUCAAAAAGUAUCAUUUAGGCUCGUCUCGUGGCUUACACCUAUAAUCUCAGCACUUUGGGAGGCUGAGGCAGGUGGAUUGCCUGAGGUCAGCAGUUUGAAGCCAGCCUGGCCAACAUGGUGAAAC
rnacentral:lncRNA from 1 species